rnacentral:miRNA from 1 species
CAUGUUUUGUGUAAUUGUGU